AGUUACUUGUCGGAGUGCCUAAGUUAGGAAACUAAUUAUGGCUGAGAUCGCGAAAGCGGGAUCCGUGAACCUGAACAGACUAAUAUCUGCGUAGGAAACAAGCUGCCCUCAUUC
rfam:Pseudoalteromonas tunicata D2 1099591001419, whole genome shotgun sequence.